rnacentral:lncRNA from 1 species
CGUGCUUCUCUUUCACCAUCCCAAGCAUUUCACACAUGAUCAGGCCAUCCGCAGCGUAUCCCACAAUAUAUCUAGCAGUCUCCUGUUUGGAAACAGCUGGAAUUGACUGAAGAGGUAAACCAAGGCGUGUUUCAGGAACACGAUGGCCUCGUAGGAGCUCAUAACUGUGCAACAGAGCGAAGUGUGGAGAUGAGCCCGAAACAGACCCGGCAGAGGGAUGCUUAAGGUCAGGACCAACAGCUUCUCCUUUGCCAGGGAUGUCCUCGAAAGGUUGGCCAUCCCCGCUAAAAGGAAAGACAUCACUGUCCCCUUUCCCUUGGAGAUCCGUAUAACCACUGCCUUCAAAAUCACUGGGGAUUCUUCGCUCUUUGGAGAGCUGUGAGCCAAAACAGAGUUGAGAAGAAUAAUUCAGUGUUCCCUCUGUUCUCCCACACAUCCUUGCCUAGUUUUCACAGUCUGUGGUUGAAAUGUCUGCAAAGAAGCAAGGACACAACUUCACCAAAUAAAACGUUCUUUCAUUCAUCCUUCA